rnacentral:rRNA from 54 species
UAGGUAGCUUAACCUUCGGGAGGGCGCUUACCACUUUGUGAUUCAUGACUGGGGUGAAGUCGUAACAAGGUAACCGUAGGGGAACCUGCGGUUGGAUCACCUCCUUA